UGUUUUGUGGCUUAGUUUGGUAAAGUGCCGGACUAGCGAUAACGGAGUCAUGGGUUCGAAUCCCAACAGAACGC
rfam:Aedes albopictus isolate Foshan contig25706, whole genome shotgun sequence.